CCUACGGGUGGCAGCAGUGGGGAAUCUUUCACAAUGGGGGAAACCCUGAUGCAGCGACGCCGCGUGCAUGAAGAAGUAAUUCGUUAUGUAAAGUGCUAUCAGCAGCGAAGAAAAUGACGGUAACUGAGUAAUAAGCCUCGGCUAACUACGUGCCAGCAGCCGCGGUAAUACGUAGGGGGCAAGCGUUAUCCGGAUUUACUGGGUGUAAAGGGAGCGUAGACGGAAGUGCAAGUCUGGAGUGAAAGGCGGGGGCUAAACCCACGGACUGCUCUGGAAACUGUACGGCUGGAGUGCAGGAGAGGUAAGUGGAAUUCCUAGUGUAGCAGUGAAAUGCGUAGAUAUUAGGAGGAACACCAGUGGCGAAGGCGGCUUACUGGACUGUAACUGACGUUGAGGCUCGAAAGCGUAGGGAGCAAACAGGAUUAGAUACCCCAGUAGUC
rnacentral:rRNA from 1 species